rfam:Moniliophthora roreri MCA 2997 sctg_0224_0001, whole genome shotgun sequence.
CCGACCUUAGCUCAGCUGGAAGAGCACGAGACUGUAAUUGGAUAUCUCUUAAGAAACAUCUCGGGGUCGCCUGUUCGAGCCAGGCAGGUCGGA